UUUUCGUUGUUUUUUUGGUGUUUUUUUUCUCAAAAUAAAAACAAAUGACAUACAUCAAUAUAGAAUUUACUAGAGCAGACAAUACAGCUCCCAAUUGUAAACAUGGUAUUCGUUUUCAUUACCAACAAUUUUAAAGUUAUUUAAUUUAAUUUCUUGAAAUGACUACUAAUGUGAUCUUUACAUCCAUUUUAUUAACCAUUACUUGUAGCAUUGUUAAGGAUAAAUUGGCCAAAAAAUACGUGGUUAUAUUUUAUGAACACGACAAAGUAUUGUUAUUCCCUAAUUUUAAAAACAUAAGGACAACACUAAAAAAAACGUAUUUAUUAAUUUAGUUAUUGCAAAAUAUGCUCUAGAUUCAUUAUCUUAGGGAUCAUAGAGUUGACUCAAUGAAGUCAAAUUACAGAGGAAAUUAAAUGUGCCUGAAUAAAAAAUAAAUCGGG
rnacentral:lncRNA from 1 species